AGCAGAGUGGCUCAGUGGAAAGAGCACGGACUUAGGACUCAGAGGUCAUGGGUUCUAAUCCCUGCUCCGCCA
rfam:Ornithorhynchus anatinus chromosome 4, whole genome shotgun sequence.